CCCAGUGUAGCAUUAGGGACAGAUGGAGACCCACGGUGGCUCAGCCCCGCUCUUCCCAAGGGUCAGAGCUCUCUGGGGACUACAUGUACAUCCCUGACUAUCCCAGUGCUAGGCUGGGGUCUCUGGACAGCUGCCUCAACUAUGUGGACCUGGACCUAGUCCCUCCCCUGGAGGUUCCUGGAGCGGCCCCAGGGAAUAGUCCACAUAGCUAUGCCAGCAUCAAGUUCUAGAACUUUCAGAAGAUAGGGGAGGAGAACCAAGCAUUGGUUAGGGAAGAGAGGAAAAGAAGAGAAAACCUUAGCACUGUUCAGCUCAGCUUCUGCACAUAGGAGCCAGGGACUCUGAGGCCUUGUGAGGUGCUAUGCUGCCCCCUUGCCUGCUCUGUCUCUUCCAGCUGUACCGCCUCAGAAACACCUCAGGAAGAAGUGCUCCAAAGAAAUUAGACUCUUAAGAGAAAGUACUAGAACAUCUCUCUGCACCCCCACCCCAAACCCAAACAACAAACAAAUAAAACACCUACAGAACCAGUCUCGGGCGAGCUGUGGCUGAAGCAUGGAUGAAUUCUCACCCUGGUUUGGGACAGCUCAGUCCCCUCACAUGUUGGCAGCUAGAUGCCAUUGUGUCUUCUCAGCCAAAGAAGUAUCCUAACCCGGUGUUUGCAAGGCAAAGCGUAAGUCCUAAGGCUCAGAAACAAUGGGGGUGAGGGGAGCAUCAGGGACCAUGUUGGUGGCCCCCAAGCAGCCUGUCCUCCCCUGAGUCAUCCUGCUAGGGUCUGAGUCAGGCUCACCUGAGCCUUCUCUGGGCCUGGGAGACCAGAUCAAUUUCCUUACUUCCCCUGCUGUGGACCCAACCCACCCAUUAAAGGUGCCCUGCUCCCUGA
rnacentral:lncRNA from 1 species